UACGUAGGUGGCAAGCGUUGUCCGGAAUUAUUGGGCGUAAAGCGCGCUCAGGUGGUUUCUUAAGUCUGAUGUGAAAGCCCACGGCUCAACCGUGGAGGGUCAUUGGAAACUGGGGAACUUGAGUGCAGGAGAGAAGAGUGGAAUUCCACGUGUAGCGGUGAAAUGCGUAGAGAUGUGGAGGAACACCAGUGGCGAAGGCGACUCUUUGGCCUGUAACUGACACUGAGGCGCGAAAGCGUGGGGAGCAAACAGG
rnacentral:rRNA from 1 species